AACGCGAAGAACCUUACCUACUCUUGACAUCCAGAGAACUUUCCAGAGAUGGAUUGGUGCCUUCGGGAACUCUGAGACAGGUGCUGCAUGGCUGUCGUCAGCUCGUGUUGUGAAAUGUUGGGUUAAGUCCCGCAACGAGCGCAACCCUUAUCCUUUGUUGCCAGCGGUUAGGCCGGGAACUCAAAGGAGACUGCCAGUGAUAAACUGGAGGAAGGUGGGGAUGACGUCAAGUCAUCAUGGCCCUUACGAGUAGGGCUACACACGUGCUACAAUGGCGCAUACAAAGAGAAGCGACCUCGCGAGAGCAAGCGGACCUCAUAAAGUGCGUCGUAGUCCGGAUUGGAGUCUGCAACUCGACUCCAUGAAGUCGGAAUCGCUAGUAAUCGUGGAUCAAAAUGCCACGGUGAAUACGUUCCC
rnacentral:rRNA from 1 species